UACAGAGGUCUCAAGCGUUGUUCGGAUUCAUUGGGCGUAAAGGGUGCGUAGGCGGCUCGGUAAGUCGGGUGUGAAAUCUCGGAGCUUAACUCCGAAACUGCAUUCGAUACUGCCGUGCUUGAGGACUGGAGAGGAGACUGGAAUUUACGGUGUAGCGGUGAAAUGCGUAGAUAUCGUAAGGAAGACCAGUGGCGAAGGCGGGUCUCUGGACAGUUCCUGACGCUGAGGCACGAAGGCCAGGGGAGCAAACAGG
rnacentral:rRNA from 1 species